rnacentral:rRNA from 1 species
UACGGAGGGGGCUAGCGUUGUUCGGAAUUACUGGGCGUAAAGCGAGCGUAGGCGGCUUUGUAAGUUAGAGGUGAAAGCCCGGAGCUUAACUCCGGAACUGCCUUUAAGACUGCAUCGCUAGAAUCGUGGAGAGGUGAGUGGAAUUCCGAGUGUAGAGGUGAAAUUCGUAGAUAUUCGCAAGAACACCAGUGGCGAAGGCGGCUCACUGGCCCGAUACUGACGCUGAGGCACGAAAGCGUGGGGAGCAAACAGG